UGGGGAAUCUUGGACAAUGGGGGCAACCCUGAUCCAGCCAUGCCGCGUGAGUGAUGAAGGCCUUAGGGUCGUAAAGCUCUUUCGCCUGUGAAGAUAAUGACGGUAGCAGGUAAAGAAACCCCGGCUAACUCCGUGCCAGCAGCCGCGGUAAUACGGAGGGGGUUAGCGUUGUUCGGAAUUACUGGGCGUAAAGCGCACGUAGGCGGACCAGAAAGUUGGGGGUGAAAUCCCGGGGGCUCAACCCCGGAACUGCCUCCAAAACUAUUGGUCUAGAGUUCGAGAGAGGUGAGUGGAAUUCCAAGUGUAGAGGUGAAAUUCGUAGAUAUUUGGAGGAACACCAGUGGCGAAGGCGGCUCACUGGCUCGAUACUGACGCUGAGGUGCGAAAAGUGUGGGGAGCAAAACAGGAUUAGAUACCCUGGUAGUCCACACCGUAAAACGAUGAAUGCCAGUCGUCGGGGUAGCAUGCUAUUCGGUGACACACCUAACGGAUUAAGCAUUCCGCCUGGGGAGUACGGUCGCAAGAUUAAAACUCAAAUGAAUUG
rnacentral:rRNA from 1 species